rfam:Canis lupus familiaris chromosome X, whole genome shotgun sequence.
AGGAACAACAACAGUAGCAGCGGCCAGCUCUCCAGCCCUGGAUUCAGCUCCCGCAGUAACUAUGGAGCUCUCAGUCUGCAGGGGCCUGGAUGGUCCGGGGGCGG